UGGGGAAUUUUGCACAAUGUGGGAAACCCUGAUGCAGCGACGCCGCGUGAUUUAGAAGGCCUUCGGGUUGUAAAAAUCUUUUCUAUGGGAAGAAAAUGACAGUACCAUAGGAAUAAGGACCGGCUAAUUACGUGCCAGCAGCCGCGGUAAUACGUAAGGUCCGAGCGUUGUACGGAAUCAUUGGGCGUAAAGGGUACGUAGGCGGGUAAGCAAGUUAGAAGUGAAAUCCUAUAGCUCAACUAUAGUAAGCUUUUAAAACUGCUCAUCUUGAGGUAUGGAAGGGAAAGUGGAAUUCCUAGUGUAGCGGUGAAAAGCGCAGAUAUUAGGAGGAAUACCGGUGGCGAAGGCGACGUUCUGGCAAUAACCUGACGCUGAGGUACGAAAGCGUGGGUAGCAAACAGG
rnacentral:rRNA from 1 species